CUGGGAUUACAGGCGUGAACCACCGCGCCCGGCCUAACUUUUAAGAAACGUCGGCCCGGGAGCGGUGGCUCACGCCUGUAAUCCCAGC
ensembl:miRNA